rnacentral:rRNA from 1 species
CGGGACGGGUGAGUAACACGUGAGCAACCUGCCUUUCAGGUGGGGGACAACAGUUGGAAACGACUGCUAAUACCGCAUAACGUGCCGGAAGGGCAUCCUUUUGGUACCAAAGAUUUAUCGCUGAAAGAUGGGCUCGCGUCUGAUUAGAUAGUUGGUGAGGUAACGGCCCACCAAGUCGACGAUCAGUAGCCGGACUGAGAGGUUGAUCGGCCACAUUGGGACUGAGACACGGCCCAGACUCCUACGGAAGGCAGCAG